AUGUGUCACUUUGAAGGUCAAAUGUUUAACCUUGAGUUUCUAAUUGUCCCACAGUAUCCUACUCCCUUGCUAAGAAGAGGUUUAUUAACAAAAUUGGAGGCAAGUCUCAAAUUCCAGCUAAGGCCAAAAUGGAGUUUACUUGCUGGGACUACAGGAGUUCUCCCUGACCAAAUUAGCCAACAGCUGGCUGAGGAGUGGGCUGGUUGUGGUGUUGGAGAUGGAAUCCAAGGCCUUGUGCAUACUAGGCAACCACUCUAUCACUGA
rnacentral:lncRNA from 1 species